UGACAAUAAAAAAUCAUAUAUUAUGCAACUACAGUUUAAACCAUUUAUAGAUUGUGGUUCAAGAAUGACUUUAUUAGUCUCAAAGAACUUUGCAAAAAAAUAAGACUAUAUUAAGCAGUGCUUUAGAUGUUCAUGAAGAAUGA